GUCUUCAUGGCUUAGUUGGUUAAAGCGUCGGUCUCAUACUAAGAAUAUGACCAAUUCAUCAGAGUUGGACAUCCGAAGGUCGCGAGUUCGACUCUCGCUGAGGACA